rnacentral:misc_RNA from 1 species
GAUAGUGCAAUUUUGAGGCUGUAUGCUUGUAAGGUAAUUUUGGUGAGAUAAGAAAUCAAAGAACACUGGCAUGUAUUACUGUUUUACUAUCAGGUUCUCUAUUUGUUUCUGUUUUUUGCUUUAUGGCUUAUAUUUUUGCAUUUCUGAAAAAAAAAAUUGAAUUGAAGAAUUUUUUUUUAGAUUAUUUGAAGAAAAUAAAAGCUGAAUCUAGAUUUA